rnacentral:rRNA from 1 species
ACGAACGCUGGCGGCGUGCUUAACACAUGCAAGUCGAACGCUGAAGCUCAGCUUGCUGGGUGGAUGAGUGGCGAACGGGUGAGUAACACGUGAGUAACCUGCCCUCUUCUUUGGGAUAACGCCCGGAAACGGGUGCUAAUACUGGAUAUUCACUGAUUCUCGCAUGGGGGGUGGUGGAAAGGUUUUUUCUGGUGGGGGAUGGGCUCGCGGCCUAUCAGCUUGUUGGUGGGGUGAUGGCCUACCAAGGCUUUGACGGGUAGCCGGCCUGAGAGGGUGACCGGUCACAUUGGGACUGAGAUACGGCCCAGACUCCUACGGGAGGCAGCAGUGGGGAAUAUUGCACAAUGGGCGAAAGCCUGAUGCAGCGACGCCGCGUGAGGGAUGGAGGCCUUCGGGUUGUAAACCUCUUUCGCUCAUGGUCAAGCCGCAGCUUUGGGUUGUGGUGAGGGUAGUGGGUAAAGAAGCGCCGGCUAACUACGUG